GGAUCUUCCGAAGCUGGGUGCUUCGGAAGCACAGAGCUAGCUUAUUUUUCAGCUAGCUCUGUUACCGCAUACUCAUGAAUAUGCAGCGCGCAUUUCAAGGAGGAGGAUUACCACUCAGGGGAUGCCAAGAUGGUCUCACUUGGUUUAAAGAGUGAGAGGAUGGCGAAGUUAAUUCCUACCGCCGUGCCGUCUGUGCAUGCAAAACACUCUGCCUGCUCUGUCCCGAGGUCGAGAGACACCGUCUGCCGCAAGCGAGAGAUUGCCACGAUGUUGACAGACGCCUCACAGCAGGUGACCGUGGACAGUGUAGACUUCUCCCUUGAGGCUUACCACUCCCUCAUCUUGCACUUCACGCACAAGCACACAGGGUUUUCAUACCUUGGGAUGUAUAGCAGGCUUCUCUUACCGGCGCUGCAUUACAAUGCCAAUCGCGAGACAGCACGGAGAAGUGACGGAACGGAGAAGUACUGCGUGCGGUAUCCGCGCUUCAGAAAAGGUUAUGCAACACCAUUAAUGAAGGCCCUUUGGGAGAGCUACGUCAAUUCACCCGCGGUUCUUCGAGAGGUUAGCCCCAAUUCGUCCUCCAAUGCACCCGCCCCCAUCGCCAAAUCCUUCGAACAGAUUCCUAAGGAGGAGGCCGUCAGCCUCUACCUAGCCCGGCAGUCACGCUUCAAGAAAACCUAAUUUCACAUUAUUAUUAUUUUCCACAGAAAAUUCCAAUGAUUUAGUUGUUAUUAUUUGCAUGAAAUUUCUUUGUAUGUAAUUCAAAAUAAUUUUCCCUGUGCCUUGUCAACCUCUGUGUGCGGUGUUGUCUGGGCUCACUGUGUGUCUGCUUGAUGUGCUUUUUGUAAGUAUCACUGUAUGUAUGCAUGCAUGAAAUAGUAUGUGUGUGUGUGCGUGAGAGAAAGAGAACCAUCAGCUGACCCUCAGGUAUGACCACACUAUUGCAGAAUUAAUUAGAAUUAAACAUUUCGGGUCUAGCCCUUCAUCAGUGUUCCUUGUAUGUUUUGUGCCUAACCAUUUUUUUUAUAUAGAUUUUUUUUUUUUAGUGUACCGGUAUUGCCUAGGGAUAAGUAGGAAAGAUACUUAAGUUUAAAACUCUCUGUAAGUAGGUUGGAAACGUAAUUUUAAGCCUGUUUCUUAUGCAUGUUUAUUGUGUAUGGAACACAUCUCCUGUCACCUAUAACUGUUGGUUCAAAGGACUCAGUGUAAAAAGAUUUGUAAACAUAAACCAUGAACAUACUCGUGCGUGCUGGCUUGAAGGGGACCAUGAUCCUGCCUGAAGUGUGAGUAUGCUAUUUUUAGCACAAACGGAUUCAGGCAGCAUGCCUCAAAUCCAGGAUGCUGCGUUAGGCACGUUUCAUCUGCUGGCCGCGGGGUGAGCUCCUCGACCAGCGACCAAAACGCGCUCACCUCCCUACAACACAAGCUCUCCACCACAGUUUCCAUGGGACGACACCGCCCACACAGACACCUGCCAAACACAGCGACACAGACACGCUUACUACUCUCUCCCUCUCCCGGUAAGGCAGGGGUCUCAAACUCGCGGCCCGCGGGCCAAUUGCGGCCCGCGGGACGAUAUUUUGUGGCCCCCUACUUGAUAUCAAGGGUUAAGUGUUAGUGCUGCCCGCACGUUUACAUUUUUUUUUUUUUUUUUUUGCCGAGUCGUUGCGCUUGCCCGUUGAUGGCCUCAUUUAUAAAGCUUGCUGCGCACAAAAACCUUGCAUAAGACUGAGGUGAAAUGUGCUAGGCCAACGGUAUAGCUUCUCCCAAGUCUGUGUGCGCUGGAGAUACGCCCUUUCUGUGUGUAUCUCUUUCCAAACACCAUGCACCUGACCGGGUUCUCUCCUGUGUGACUCCUCUGAUGUAUUUCGAUCUUACUGAAGCAUCUGAAACUAACCGCUUAGCAACCGAGUUCCUGAUGUUGUGGAGCUUCAUAUCCCUGAGCAUGAAAUGUGCGUCACUUUUUUUUCACUGCAAACGUUGGUAGGCUAUUUAUAGAAAAUGUCUAUGUUCUGACAUGUUUGAUUGCAUUUAUAACUGCAUGGGCCUGGAUACGUCGGUAGGUUUGUGUGUGUGUGUGUGUGUGUGUGUGUGUGUGUGUGUGUGUGCGUGUGUGUGUGUGUGUGUUCCUGUGUGUCCAGUGGGAGAGGAAAUAUCGACGUGUGAAAGAGUGUUUUGUAUGAAUUUGAGGCCGACACAUAUUAAUCUAAAUUUAUAUAUCAUAAGUUACACAUGUAUUAAAAAAAAAUUCGGGUUGAAAUCGGGCUCGGGCUCAUAAUUACAGUUAAUGUGUCGGGCCGGGCCGGGCUCGUACAGAACGUGCACGGGCCGGGUCGGGCUUGACACACACACACACACACACACACACACACACACACACACACACACACACACACACACACACACACACACACACACACACACACACACACACACACACACACACACCAACGUUUGCGGUGAAAAAUGCUUAUGCACAUUUCACCCCAUCUUCGCAAGGCUGUUGGGCGCAGCAAGCUUUAUAAAAAAUAGAUAUAUAAAGCCCUGGGCUUUAUAUAUGUAUAUAUUUUUUUUUAAAUAAAGCCUUUGCUGUGAAAGGGUUUUGACCCCUUCCGGAGGGGCUUGUUGUCAAGUUUGCUAACGUGAAUAAGCAACAUUAGUCGCUUGGUUGAAACGUGAUUCCGGAGUGACACAAAGUGGAAGGAAAAUAUAUCCUGUUCUCCAGCCCCAGUCAUGUCUUUCUCAAAACCUGCCGUGAAUAGAAAGGUUAGUGACGAGCACAGACUAUUUCAGGAAAAGUGGGAGACGGAAUACUUUUUUGUAGAGCACAGGGGCAUCCCAACGUGUCUUAUAUGCACAGAGAAAGUUGCGGUGCAAAAAAGCAUUCAUGUUACAGAACUGUUGAUAGUAAAGCUUGAGAAGACUGGAUAUUUGUACUUUUUUGUGGAAAACUUGAUGCGGCCCAGCCUCACCCAGAAUCUACCUCCAGCGGCCCCCAGGUAAAUUGAGUUUGAGACCCCUGCGGUAAGGGGUACCCUGACGGUUUCAAUGACAAUCAAUCACGAGGAAAACGAGUUAGCACUAUCAAAAAUAAUCACACUGAAGACAUGACCAGCCUACUCGACGUCGGCUACGUUUGCAAACAACAUUUUCACCGGAGAAAGAGGUAAAAGCUUAGACAUAAACACUAGGGGUUCACAGGUGGGACUGUCAAGCUAGCCCAUAUUUAGAAGAAAUAGAAGGCAUAAUAUGCCUUCUUUUUAGAAGGCAUAAUAUGCCUUCUAUUUCUAGAUCUUCUGACUAAGUUUAGGGUACUUACCUGAGCCAACGACAUAAUCACUGUCACUAGAUAUAAAGAAAACGUUGACUUUCACUCGAUGCUAUUCAUUGACAGUAAAAAAGUUGUUAUUGUAUGCACUGCUGUUCAUAAACGGCUAGCUCCAGCACUCCUUGCUGCGUUUCUAAAUGGUAGCAAUAACUCACCAGGACACUUCACCAACUCUCCAGUCAUUCUCCUCUGACCAUGCAUUUAUUUGUCUUUGACGGCCAUCGGCUCUCGGUAUUUCCUCAUUUGCCCUCUCACGUCUAACCGGUUCGAAAUUAUAUGGCUGUGGUGGGCCAUCAUAAAUGUUGACUGUGGGUCUUGCUACCUCUUCCUCAUCCCCGUUAGACGCCAUGGUGCUAGUUCUAGUAUGCGUCUACCUCAUGUGACGUCAUCGCCGAAUCGCGUAGAAAAUAACCGUUACUAACCAAAAACGACAAAAACUGGACUUUAACACCAUUUUGGAGACAUUUCUAACUUUAUAUACAUAUUUUGAGUGCUCUAUGUACCCAUUAAUCGAAACUUCCGGUUAACCUGCACCAUGGGCUUUGAAUGAGCAAAGUAUAAACCACCUGGAUUGAUAUUUGAUCACAAAACGGGCUUUUGAUAUAUUUUUGGAUGAACAUUCUGCAAGACUUUUACCUUAAAAACGUCAGGACUUUUACUUUGAAAAAACAGGACCAAGAAGUCAAACCGGAAGUGAAACGCGUCAGCACGCCGGUGGCUUUGUUAUGACCGGCUAUUACCGUGGAUCUAGUCGUGUUUUGUCGCUUAUGACAUUAUAUCUUAUCGUUUAAAUCACCAAGAUACACCAGGCUCCCCCGCUGCGACUUUAGAUCUCGCGACAUCUGCAAAACUGCGUGAAGAAGGAGGUGACGUCGCGAUACUUUAUCACUGGUAAGGAACCGAUCUAAAGUUACAGCUGCUAACCUCGACCUUUAUUAAUAAUAAUAAUAAUAGUAAUUAGAUAAUCAUAAUUGUCUGGCUCGGGUUGACUAUUUUCCUUUUAAUACCAUUCCGGAUACUAAUAAAACAAAUAGAAAUAUGCAAAUAAACUAAAUAGAGACCUCUCUAUCUAUCUAGUUCUGUGUGCGCAGCUCCAUGGAGAAUGCGUUAAUUUACCGACAGGUUACAAUUAUUAAUAGAGGUCUAAUCGAUUAUGGCACUGGGACAGAUCAACUAUUUAAAACUAGAUAAUCUGCAUGUUUUUCAGCCACGAAUUAAAACGUCAAUGUGGCUUAGCUGAUACGACCCGUUGUGAAUUACAUUUAAAUUAACU
ensembl:lncRNA